AUUGAACGCUGGCGGCAGGCUUAACACAUGCAAGUCGAGCGAGCGGCGCACGGGUGUGAAAUGUCUGGGAAACUGCCUGAUGUAGGGGGAUAACUACUGGAAACGGUAGCUAAUACCGCAUACCAUCAGAUGUGCCCAGAUGGGAUUAGCUAGUUGGUGGGGUAAUGGCUCACUUAGGCGACGAUCCCUAGCUGGUCUGAGAGGAUGACCAGCCACACUGGAACUGAGACACGGUCCAGACUCCUACGUGAGGCAGCAGUGGGGAAUAUUGCACAAUGGGCGCAAGCCUGAUGCAGCCAUGCCGCGUGUGUGAAGAAGGCCUUCGGGUUGUAAAGCUCUUUCAGCGAGGAGGCGUUACUCGCAGAAGAAGCACCGGCUAACUCCGUGCCAGCAGCCGCGGUAAUUC
rnacentral:rRNA from 1 species